rnacentral:rRNA from 1 species
UCCUCCCUCUUUCUUCGCGCUUAACACAUGCAAGUCGAGCGAUGAAAUCUUGACAGAUCCCUUCGGGGUGAAGAUAAGAUGGAUUAGCGGCGGACGGGUGAGUAACACGUGAGUAACCUGCCUUAGACAUUGGGAUAGCCUCGGGAAACCGGGAUUAAUACCAAAUGAAAUCAUAGGUGCCCAUGCACUAAUGAUCAAAACUCCGGUGGUCUAAGAUGGACUCGCGUCCCAUUAGCUAGUUGGUGAGGUAAUGGCCCACCAAGGCGACGAUGGGUAGCCGGCCUGAGAGGGUGAACGGCCACAUUGGAACUGAGAACCGGUCCAAACUCCUACGGGAGGCAGCAGUGGGGAAUAUUGCACAAUGGAGGGAACUCUGAUGCAGCGACGCCGCGUGAACGAUGAAGGCUUUCGAGUCGUAAAGUUCUUUUAUAUGGGAAGAUAAUGACGGUACCAUAAGAAAAAGCCCCGGCUAACUACGUG